AGCAGCAGCCGCGGUAAUACGAAGGGUGCAAGCGUUAAUCGGAAUUACUGGGCGUAAAGCGUGCGUAGGCGGUUUGUUAAGUCUGCUGUGAAAUCCCCGGGCUCAACCUGGGAAUGGCAGUGGAUACUGGCAAGCUAGAGUGUGUCAGAGGAUGGUGGAAUUCCCGGUGUAGCGGUGAAAUGCGUAGAGAUCGGGAGGAACAUCAGUGGCGAAGGCGGCCAUCUGGGACAACACUGACGCUGAGGCACGAAAGCGUGGGGAGCAAACAGGAUUAGAUACCCGAGUAGUCCCUGUCUCUUAUAC
rnacentral:rRNA from 1 species